UUGCUGAUACAGAUCAAUAGUGUUUGUUCCUGCGCUCAGAUUAUAAGCUGUGCGUCUCCGACGUUUCGGCGGACGGGUGAGUAACACGUGGGCAACCUGCCUGUAAGACUGGGAUAACUUCGGGAAACCGAAGCUAAUACCGGAUAGGAUCUUCUCCUUCAUGGGAGAUGAUUGAAAGAUGGUUUCGGCUAUCACUUACAGAUGGGCCCGCGGUGCAUUAGCUAGUUGGUGAGGUAACGGCUCACCAAGGCAACGAUGCAUAGCCGACCUGAGAGGGUGAUCGGCCACACUGGGACUGAGACACGGCCCAGACUCCUACGGGAGGCAGCAGUAGGGAAUCUUCCGCAAUGGACGAAAGUCUGACGGAGCAACGCCGCGUGAGUGAUGAAGGCUUUCGGGUCGUAAAACUCUGUUGUUAGGGAAGAACAAGUACAAGAGUAACUGCUCGUACCUUGACGGUACCUAACCAGAAAGCCACGGCUAACUACGUGCCAGCAGCCGCGGUAAUACGUAGGUGGCAAGCGUUUAUCCGGGAAUUAUUGGGCGUAAAGCGCGCGCA
rnacentral:rRNA from 2 species